GUUUGAUCAUGGCUCAGAUUGAACGCUGGCGGCAGGCCUAACACAUGCAAGUCGAGCGGAUGACGGGAGCUUGCUCCUUGAUUCAGCGGCGGACGGGUGAGUAAUGCCUAGGAAUCUGCCUGGUAGUGGGGGACAACGUUUCGAAAGGAACGCUAAUACCGCAUACGUCCUACGGGAGAAAGCAGGGGACCUUCGGGCCUUGCGCUAUCAGAUGAGCCUAGGUCGGAUUAGCUAGUUGGUGAGGUAAUGGCUCACCAAGGCGACGAUCCGUAACUGGUCUGAGAGGAUGAUCAGUCACACUGGAACUGAGACACGGUCCAGACUCCUACGGGAGGCAGCAGUGGGGAAUA
rnacentral:rRNA from 1 species